GGUGAACGCUGGCGGUGGGCCUAACACAUGCAAGUCGAGCGAACAGACAAUAAGCGCUUGCUCCUAACGGUAGCGACUGGCGGACGGGUGAGACAUAGAUAACCAUCCUCUAUUACGUGGGGGACUUCGUAGGGCAACUUCCGAUACUACCGAAUAUGUUCUACGGCAGAAUUCAAUGGAUAUACAGACCUUGCGCGUCACAUUGAGAUGGUGCCGCGCCGGAUUAGCUAGUGGGUAAGGUAACGGCUUACCAAGGCAACGAUGCGUAGCCGACCUGAGAGGAUGAUCAGCCACACUGGAACUGAGACACGGUCCAGACUCCUACGGGAGGCAGCAGUGGGGAAUAUUGGACAAUGGGCGCAAGCCUGAUCGAGCCAUACCGCGUGAGUGAAGAAGGCCUUCGGAUUGUAAAGCCCUGUUAUUGGGGAAGAAAAGCUGUAUGAUUAAACCUCGCCGUUUUGACGGUACCCAAAGAAAAAGCAACGGCUAACUUCGUG
rnacentral:rRNA from 1 species